UCACGCUUGCGCGAGGAUCUAAUCCUUUCCCAUAUUAUCCAAUGAACCUGAAUCGAUUACAGUUAAAGGUUGUUGGUUGUGUAUUUCAACUGAACGAGAGCAGCUAAGAGAUGGAUCAGUCUCCAUAUCAGUGAUUUGCUGCUUCUUUUCAAUAUCAAGAUUUCAAGAAAUAUUCCCAAAAGCAGAAAUGGAAUCAUCAGAGCUCUUGAAAAUGAACCCAGUAGAUGUAGAUCCAAGUUGU
rnacentral:lncRNA from 1 species